UACAGAGGUGGCAAGCGUUGUUCGGAAUUACUGGGCGUAAAGGGCGCGUAGGCGGCCAUCUAAGUCAGACGUGAAAUCCCCCGGCUUAACCUGGGAACUGCGUCUGAUACUGGAAGGCUUGAGUAUGGGAGAGGGAUGUAGAAUUCCAGGUGUAGCGGUGAAAUGCGCAGAUAUCAGGAAGAACACCCGUGGCGAAAGCGGCUCUCUGGAACGGUACUGACGCUGAGACGCGAAAGCGUGGGGAGCGAACAGG
rnacentral:rRNA from 1 species